rnacentral:misc_RNA from 1 species
CAGCGGGCACGGCUUUUGUUGUUGUUUGCACGGUUUUUGCUAUUCGCGUCGCUCUUCUUUGUGGUUAGCUUUGAAGGUGCGCUUUACCACCUCUUCUGAAUUCCCUCUUUUUUCUUUUUGGCGUCCGUGGUACUUCGUCGAGCCCUUCUAGCUGGUGCACGAUUAUUCAUUUCCGCUUGCUUCUCCAAGCAUCUUCAGUCGCAAGCAUGUGUGACGAAGCGUUUAUUCUUCAGGCAGACGGACGGGCGCACACCUCUGAUGUUCGCUUUGUCAGCUCCUCACCUCAUGAUCCGUCGGCUGUCUUCACAGCGUCGCGCGACAACACAGCGAAGUUGUCCACUGUUCCGACGUCAGGGGACACUGUAGAGGACGGUCUGACCUUUGUUGGUCAUACCGCGUUUGUCAACUACGUUCUAUUUCAUCCUGGUGUAGAGCUUCUGGAUCACGAGUCGUGCGUUGUCACCGGAUCAAAUGAUAAGCAUGUGGCACUGUGGAAUGCCGAGUCGUCCGCGGUAGAAGCCGUGUUAGAUGGGCACAACAGUGGCGCUUGUUGCGGUGCCAUCAUGCAUUUCACUCCCGGCAGUGUCGACACAGAGGUGGAGGAUGCGCUUGCUGGCGAUAUUAUUUCUGGUGAUUGGGGUGGGAUGAUCCUUAUUUUCGAUCACAAAAGUGGACAGCCGAAACAACUUUACGACAAGCACGCCACGGCCAUCCGUGGUGUGGCGCAACUGACAAACACCUCGACAAUCGUGUCUGGCUCUGGCGACAAGACGAUUCACGCCUGGGAUGCUUUGACGGGAAGGACCAUACAGAUUUUCUUUGGUCACCGGGAUGUUGUGCAGUGCAUUUGUGCGGUCGACAGCACCCGCUUCGCGUCGGCAGGGAACGAUUGCACGGUACGAUUGUGGAGCAUCGGCACUGACUGUUCUCUUCAAGUAUUGGACGGCCAUGACUCACUGAUCUACUCCAUCAGUUGGUCUCCUGCUCUGUCAGAGCUGUACACUGCCUCGGAAGAUCGCACAGUGCGCGUAUGGCGUUCAAGCAGCGCUGAUGGUAAGCUGUUCACCGUGCAAGUCAUUCAGCACCCCUGCGUCGUGUGGAGUGUGGCGCCAACAUCGGACGGCAGGCUGCUCUCUGGUGGUUCAGAUCAUACCGUGCGCGUAUGGACCCGCGACUAUGGCCACAUGGCGUCCAUCGAGAAGCUGGAAGCCUUGGAGACGGCGGUCUCCUCCCAGACUGUGGAUGUCAAAAUCGCCAAAUCCAGCAGCGCUGCUGCCGCCAGUGGCGGCCUCGAUGUGGAGUCGAUGCCGUUCACGCACGAGAUUGCGCAGCGCCGCGGCACGCUGGAGGGCGAACGCCUCUUCGCCCGCAAUGAGAAGGGCGAGGUGGAGUUAUAUGUGUGGAGUGCCGCCAGUGGGAGAAGAUCGGUGUUGUCGUUGCAGGGCCAGACGCUCAGCACUACACAGGCGCUUCGGAGCAACAACGCGAGAAGCACUUCUACAACGGGCAAUCGUACGAUUACCUUUUCGACGUGAAUGUUGAGGGUCGCAUGCUGAAGCUGCCCUACAAUGUCGGUGACAGUGUUGUAGAGACGGCAAAGCGCUUCAUCCAGGACCACUCUGGCGUUGUUGCGCAAGACUCACAGGAGGAGAUUCAAAACUUUCUUAUGGCGCAUGUGUCGCCAGAAGAUCUUUCGCGUAUUCCGGGCUUGGAGGGUACCAGACGUGCCUCCGACUCUGGUGGCGCUGCAGCACCCGCGCCAUUUGCAGCAGCAGCCUCUCCGGCGCCGCCAGCAGAGACUGACAGUCUUCUUCCUGCGUGGGAAGUGCCGCAGCUCUUUGACACCUUCAACGCUGCAGCUGCGCAGACGAAGGUGAACACACUCUUGCCGGAGCACACGCAGUUCCACCACACCGUCGAGGCGGUGUCGCCGAACGCCAGUGAUCCAUCCGCCACGUGCUCAGGUCUUCUCAGCCUGUACGCCGCGCUACCGGCUGGGCUUCGCUUUCCCGCAACGGACGCUCUGCGCUAUAUGCUCACCGCCACCGUUGAUAAGCCCGACAUCGUCGGAGAGACGCUGGCAAAGCUGAACACCGUCUGGGGCUCUAAAGCACCACAACCCCCGCAGCUGCCAACGUCGGCGGCCGAGUGGAUGGUGGCUCUGCGGCUUGCCGCGUCCGUGUUUGGCCGCUUGUGUGACGUGCGUGUGCAAGCGUCGACAUGACUGAAGACGCGCAGGAGAUGCUGGUGUGGUUGACGGCGUCGCUGCCGUCCAUGACGAAGCUGAUCACGAGCGACACGCCCGCUACCAUGCGCACCAACUGCCGAGCUGCUACGGCUGCACUCCUCCGCAACGUGACGGUAGCCCUGUGUUCCCCGGGGUCGAGCCUAGCGACGGCGGGGUUCGCGGGCCUUGCCGAGCGGCUGGCCGUCGCCGUUGUGCAGCAGAGCGCCGUUUUGUUUGUAGUGGAGCGCAACGACUCGCCAGUAGUGCGCGACACUCUACGAUCGCUGCGGUCACUCUUGCUGUACUCCCCACCGUCGCCGACUGCGUGGCGCGCUGCGGUAGUGGCCCAGGUGCUCAAAUCGUUAACGCCCUCACUGAAGGGGAUUGCCACCGGCGCUCGCGUCGAGGGUCAGUCGACGGCUGCGUGGCUGUUGGCUCAAGUCGGCCACCCAAUCGCCUCUUGAAGGAAAGAGGACGAGAGCGAUUCUCGUACACGUGCGUGUGUGCGUGCUCGCGUUUGCGUUGGCGCUCUUUAUGAUGAGUUUGCUCCAUAAUUUGGCCUCCUCCGUUGUUUCCACAUGUGCAGCAAUGUGAGCAAACGCACCCGC